AUUCUCAGGAACUUGGGCGAGAGGAAAGUCCGGGCAGCACAGAGCACUCCGCUCCCGAAAAUAGGAGUUACUGGCGACAGUAAAACAGGGCAGAAGAAAACAACCGCCCCCACGUUUCUGCGUGGAGGUAAGGGUGAGAAGGCGGUGUAAGAGACCACCGGGCUGAUGGUGACAUCAGUGCCGUGCCCCUCGGAGGCUGUAAGUUCAUGUAAACCAUCGUCUGAGGGUUGCUCGCCCGACUCAUUCCGAUGGAGGGUAGAACGCUGGAGUCAUAGGGUAACUUAUGGCGUAGAUAAAUGACAAGAAGCUCCUUGCGGCGAGAGCCGUAUGCGAGAGACAGAACCCGGCUUAUAGGGGCACU
rnacentral:RNase_P_RNA from 1 species